rnacentral:lncRNA from 1 species
UGCUCUCUCUGAUAAGUGGAGGGACAGGAAGAGGACAUAAGGGCAGGAAAGAUGGUGGAAUGGGAUGGACAUCAUUACCCUGGAUUCAUGUGUGACUGCACACAUGGUGCAACGCUACAUCCUGUACAACCAGAGAAGUUUUCUACGUUUUGACGCUACUUACUUUCAGACAUGCUCACUCCAGGACUGCAAACUAGGAAGACCUUCACAGCUACUCGAUCCAACAGUAUCAGAACUGGGUAUGCUUCUUUGACACUCUGAACUCUGAAGCUUCUUAAGUAAAGAACAUAAGAUCAAGCUCACCUAAUAAUUGUUGGUAGACCCAAGAAAAUUAAUGGAAUAGUCCUAAAUUC